rnacentral:lncRNA from 1 species
GUGUUAUGUUACUAGUGUGUUUUUUUUUUUUUUCCUGUUUAGUUGUAAGGCUUGCAGAUUAUAUUUCUAUAUGGUAAUUUUUUUUGUGUAUGUGAGAUACACUGCAGUCCAGCAACCUGGACCAUAUCACAAUGUCAAAAUGUGCAAAAUAAAUACUUGAGCUAUUUAUGGAGCUUUCAAACUGUUACACUUGUACUCAAAUCCUUUUUACCUGCAACGAACUAAUCAAAUUCCUGUUAAUCUGCGCCCGAAUGAAUCAGUCCAAGUAAAUCCCAGACAGAUCUAUUCGUUCGGGUGCAGAUUAACAGGAAUUUGAUUAGUCUGUCACAGGUAAAAAGGAUUUGUGCACAAAUCUACUAAUUAUGGCACUGCCAUUUGUUCAGUUACUUCUAUACAUGUGAAUAAAAUAUAAAUUUUUCAAAUCAGUUAACCCCGAACCAUACCCUUUAAGAUUCUUUUAUUUGGGGUAUAUGUAAGCCUCACUGAAACAAGUGCUAAAACAAAUACUUUUUGUUUUCUACAUACACUUUUGUUAUCUUUAUUUUAGUAUGGUUAUUAGUCAGCAUAGAUUUUAUAGAUUUAUAAAAUAUAUAAAAAGUUUAUAGGUAGAUUAACUUUGUCCUUGAAUUGCCUAUGAGUCUUAGAGACAUACAUGUGCUCACAUAUAUAAUUUUUAAGUUUAUACAGUUUCUGUUUACCCAAUCAACCCAUUGUUUUUUUUCUUUUUUAUUAUCAGCUACAUUUUUUCACGCACAAAACUGAUUUAUUGCUGCACUUCGUUAGACAAUUAGCAAGUUUGGGUAAAGUGAUGGGACAUUUAAAUUGUGUUUAUUGUUAACUGUUAAGACUUUUCUUUUUUUUUUUUUUUCUUGCACACCAAGGGAGGUUAUACGAACAUUACAAUCUGUUUUUAGGAAUGCUAUCAAUAUGGAAUGAUUUGCUUAAUUACUUUAUGGCUGUGUAAAGCAACCAAAGGAGAAUAAGUGAACAUUUAAUGUUGGCAUUGAAUUAGGAUGACCUCAUAUUAUAGUAAUUGGCCCAUAGUUGAUUAAUGCGUGUUUAUGAAGAAGUAUUUUUGCACGAGACUAUUUCAAGAAAAGCAUCAGCCUUUCACUUUGGGUAAACAUUGCAUAGUUCAUUCCAUACGUUAGACAUUCAUGUAGCAACCCCUUCCAAUGCAUAGAACAAUUGCACAAACUGGCUACUGUAAAGGCAUACUCUAAGCACCAGAGCAACUUUAGAUUAGUUUUGGUGCACAAAUGAUGCCCAUGCAGGCUCUCUGCUCAAUUACCUGCCAUUUAGAAAUUAAAAGGUUAUUCCAACCACCACGGCCACUUUAGUGAUUUGAGGUGGUUAUGGUGGUAGGAGUGUGGCUAUGCAGCAUUUCUGACUGAAAUUAUGUACAUCCAGAGAUAUUUGCACUCCCAGCUUGUGUGACUUUGGCAGCCCGGAACUUUGGUGGUUUGUUUUUUGUUUGUUUUUUUCCACCUUAAAUAAAAAAUUCUUCCCUCUCUCCCAUUGCCGGCUCAGAGCGCAUGCAUGCGCUCUAAGUCAGCAAAACAGUCCAAUCACAGGCUUCUUUAUAUGACAUCAGACAGAGGAGGGUGAUCAGCAACGAGAACUUCGUCAAGUGUUGUAUUAUAGCUAAGGUUCAUAUUUUUUUUAAGUCUCAGAGGACCUCUUAUCAAUGUCCAUAAGUCUAAAAAGGCAAAGGGUUUGAGUAACCCUUUAAAUCACUUUGUUUUUGCAGCCUUAGUCAUACCUCUCGUGUCUGUGACUUAUACAGCCUCCCUACACACUUCCUGUAGAAAGAGAUCUAAAUGAAACACUUAUUGAGCUGGAAGUAAAAAAAAAAAAAUAGUAUUUCAUGGCUUAUGCUCUAAUUGCCUGCUUAAUUGUGUGUGAUCAGAGUUUGCGAGUUCUUAGGCAGAACUCAAAAAAGAGGGUUGAUGUGCUCACAUUCAAAGUAAGGCUCUUGGAUGGGCCAUGAGGCAAGGCCCAACAAGUGUCUGAGGUGGUCAGUGGCCUAAUUAUAGAGCCACCUCUAUGUGUAAUUAAAGCUUAAUUAACCACAUGAUGUAAAAACUUCUAAAGUAAACACAUUGUGCUGUUAGGUCUGAAUGAACAUGAAACCAUCUUUUUCACUGGGACUGUGAGAGUCCCAACCAAGGAAGGUUUGGCUAGAGCUGCAUAAACAGAAGCAAAUGUGAUUUAACUCCUUAAUGGCAGAGAAUUGAGCAGUGACCAAAACUGCUCCAGUGCGCUAAAGUUGUUUUGGUGCUUAGAGUAUGCAUUUAAGAAAACAUAUUCUGACAAGGCUCUUACUCAAAGCUAACCUUGGUUUUAAAGGCUUUGGUGAACAUAUACAUAAGUUACCUUUUAACCCUUAUGGUGCCAGAGGUAUGCCCAGUACCAGUGAUUUGCAAAGCAAUGUAUUGAGCAAGUGCAUUUGACACACCACUGACACACAACAUAUUUUACUGUUAUAUAACAUUCAUGGUUUAUUGGGUCAGGGUGUGAUAAAUCAGUCCUUUUAAUUUUGCCCAAACUAAAACCUACUUGAAAUUGUCAACCAAUUUUAUGUAAAAUGUUGACAGUAUGGGAACUAUUAUAAAAAUCUGAUUCUAAAAAAAAAAAAUUUGCAUCAAUGAAAGAUAAAAUAUGUUAAAAAUGAAAUGCCUCAGCUGUGGAACAUCAAAUUACCAAAGAUUUUACAUCGUUUCCAUGCAGUGAUUUUGCAGUAUCUCUGACCACUUCUAGGUUUUCAUCUGAAACCCUUAUAAAUAUAGAUGUAACGGAUGUAAUCUAGAAAGUCUGCCAUGUGAUUGGAAGACUGCUUGCUCUGAAAACAUUUAAAACCUUCAAGAACAUUUCUGUUAAUUGCAGAGUGACUGACUCGUGGUAUUUAUUUUGCAGAACUGUGUAAAUGAAAAGUGCAAUACUCAGAAAAUUUGUAUACUUGGGAAAGCAAAUGUCGUUAGAAAAAUAAUCCAUCUAUUCUACAGUCUGCGUACUCACCAAAUUUCUUGGUUUGCUGUAAACCACCACAAUUGUAGUCUGUAUUGAAAUUUGAGAAUUAAGGGGAAAAAAUGAAAAAUCAUUUAUCUCCAGGAUUAUUGUGAAUUUCAGUUAAAGAGUUACUCUGGACACCAUGACCAAUUCAGUGUUUUGAAGUGGUACGUGGAGUCUGUGUGCAGCAUAUCGCUUUGGAAUCAUCCACCAUACUGGAACUAAAAUUCUGUGCUGCCUAAUGUAUGUAAUGAUUGAGUGUUAAGAUUGGCAUCCGGUUUCUGGAGCUUUAUAGAAGCUAGAUGUUACAAACCCGGCUCAGAAAAGACACGACUUGAACAGGUAAGAGAGCAAACUGUUGUAAAACAGUAUGCCCCAUUACUGGGGUACUCCUCAAUAGCUGGCUGCAGUGGUUAUGUUUGGAGUAACCCUUUAUCUAUACAUACCAUGUGUCUCUAUUUAGGAGGGACUCUAUUUUAGACCCAUAUCCCUCUGUCCUUAUUUUCUAUCGUAAUGUUUCUCUUUUCCAGGAGCUCUAUAUUGUUGGUGUUAUUGAUUGUUUAAUGGAACUCCACAGCAAUAAUACUCAUAGCAGUGUGCUUUUUAACAAAAAUAAAUAUGCUUAGGCAUCGGUCUGCUUCAUUGGUGUGCACAGUACAUUACAUUAGCAUGUGCACCCAGAGUAAAUUACAACCAAACCUUUACGUAAAGAAUACUAAUUUUGUAGUACAAUGUUCACAAUUUUGCUCUGAAAAUUGUGUAUACAGCCCUUCAGGCUUUUUACAGCAAACACUGUAUUUUCGGAGUAAAGUCAGUGUUUACAUUACAGCCUAGGGAUACCUCCACUAGCCACUCCUCAUAUGGCUUCUAAAUGUGCUUCCUGGGGCAGUGCUGCACAGUGUGACUGACUUUGUGUCUCCACCCUCUGCAUGGAGACACUGAACUUUCCUCAAAGAGAUGCAUUGAUUCAAUGAAUUUCUAUGAGAAGAUGCUGAUUGGCUAGGGCUGUUUUGAUUGUGCUGGCUCUGCCCCUGAUCUGCCUUCUUGACGGUCUCAGACAGUCUGAUGGUUUCAUAUUGGAAAGUAUUGUGAUUGACUGAGAGAAUCAGGCUUGAUGAUGUCAGCCGAGCAGGCGGAUCAGGGGCAGAGCCAUCAGUAGCAGACUGGGAUAAAGGUACGAUGUUCCUAUAUUUAGGGGGUAGGGAGGGGGGGCAGAGUUUGUGUUCCUGACCCUACAGUGUUCUUUUAAACAUAUAUCAAGCUACCAAAACUCAUAGAGAAGGGUCCAUAGAGAUCUAAAUAAGGGGACAGAGACAAUAAUUUUGCACUUCAUUAGGUUGUGUCUGGGCACACUCCUUGUGCACACCUAUGGUCUGCGUAAAUAAGAUACCUUCAAAAACUUCUCAAAUAAAUUUUAGUUUCAUAAAUUAUUUGUUUGUCACCUAAAAUUCUCAUUAAAGUGUCAAAAGAAUACACUUCAAGAUCUGUUACAAUAAGAUUAUUUGGUCAGGGAGCUACAGUUACAGAACGGGACAUAUAUAAUUUUUUUAAACCAUAUUGGGCUAAAGUAUCUAACCAAUUGCCCAUUCUCCACUCUAAUCCUCUCCAGUGCCAGGUUCUGAUCUCCUUGAAGAGGCUCUGAUAUUGAUCUGCAUAGUCUAUCUAUUAAUAUGUGCGUAAAAUUUAGUUUUUUUUUAAAAGAAAAUUAUGGUUUUGUAUAAAACAAUUUGAUCUUUAACCCCGUAAGGACCAAACUUCUGGAAUAAAAGGGAAUCAUGACAUGUCACACAUGUCAUGUGUCCUUAAGGGGUUAAAGCAAAUAACCUAAAAUAUCCUCUAAAAAUAAAAUAGUUGCUGAAUAAAAUUAACUCCUUCCAACAUAUAAGUUUAGAGCUCUAUUAUUAGUUUGCCUAGUACUAUACCAAUUAACAUGAAAUGUCUUCUGCAGAAAAAAAAAUAUUCUAAAAUAAUUUUCCAGCGACGUUCAUUUAAAUGUUUUGGCAGGUCCGAAUUUUCACUAGAAGUCUC